GAGCCUCUAACGGCCGCUCAGCCGUAGCUCCUGAAUGCCCGUGGCUGCUCCCGAGCUGUGCGUGUACCCCCGGGGAUGCUGUGGGGCGGGCUGGGUUUUGCCUGCGUGGCCUCUUCCCAAGAGUGCCAAGGGAGACGAGAGCUGGCAGCACACUUCCUUUUCCGUCCUCAAUGCCGAUGUCAUUUUCUCAAGUGGACCUUGUUCCCACAGCUCUCUGAUGACACCAAACAGCACAGCGAGGCUGAGAGCAUGGAGAUGACCCACUGCAUCCUGCUGCAGGCCCGCAUCUGCCCAGAGGAAACGGUCCCGUUUCUGCAGUCGCAGCUGGGCGAUGAGAGGGAGUCCAGACGCGUGGCAGCCCUGGGUCUGCUCGGAGCUCUGGCUCGCUCAGAUGGUCAGUACCACGGGUCGGGACUUCCGGGGAUCCCUUUGUCCAUCUGGGUUGUGCCUCCACGCAUGCUUCUGCGCAUCUCUUCCAGAGCCCGUGAUGGCAGAGAAGCUGCCCCAGGUUGUGGAGGCUGUGCAGUGCCUGUGCGGGGACCCCAGGACCCAGGUGAGCUGGUUUGGGAAGGGAAAGCGCUGUCGGGGUGGUGAUGCUGCUGCCAAAAGGGGCAGGGCUGGGGUGCCCGGGGAAGUGCUGGCACAUUGCCCACACGGUCGCCAUGGCUUCUGCUGGGGGGAGCAGGCAGAGUGGAGUGGGCAGGUCCCCGUGCUGUGCAUGGAAAGCGCCCAGCCUGGGGCUAAGGCCUGACCCAUACCUCUGAAGCCCAGGCUUCUCCUCUGCUCUGGUUGUCUCCGCGCACAACCAAAGGGCCCAAAAAAUCAAAACCACCACUGACCCCUGGCAGGUGAGGAGGGCCGUACUGCA
rnacentral:lncRNA from 1 species